rnacentral:lncRNA from 1 species
GUAGCCACAAAUUGUUUCACCCCUAAAAUUCUUUUCCCUCGCUUGAUUGUAACCCUACCCUAACUGUAUCCUCCCUCCUCUCAAAUCGCCCACCCCCAAAAUUUUCUCAUGCGCUCUCUCUCUCUCUCUCUCUCUCUCUCUCUCUCUCUCUCUCCCUCUCUAGAUCACGAUUGAUUUCCACAUCUGCUAGGUUCUCGAUGACUACAACAGGUGCUUGUGGCGGGCGUCGAUAAUGUAAUGUCGGUUUGAACCAGCUCUAUACCAUUUCUGAGGGACUUCAAAGCAAUAUAGUUAUUCUUAUGGAUUAGGAUGUGACGAUGAAGCGAUAUAUUAGGAUACACUCUGAGAGGACCAGAAAGAAGGCCUUUUGAAUCUCGUCCCCUUUCUUGUCGUUAUUCCAAAGCUACUUUAUCUUUUAAAUCAUGGGGAAACUUUCACAAAGGUCGGUGAUGAAGUUUUCUUCAAAAGCAUUCUAAACUCUACGGAGACUGUAGCAAGAGGAAGGGUUCAGAGCUUGGACCCAAAUGAUCUUGUUGGUGAUACAGAGAUUGGACCAGAAUGGUGUGAGGUAGUCCAUGAGGAUUGAGGACGCAUGAUGACUCAAGAUUUUAUGCUUCUUAUUUCUUUAAUUGCUUUUAAUUUCUUUGUUAAAUGUUAAGACUUUAUAUUAGAUAAUGUUAUAACUUAUUUAUGGUUAGUGUUUUUGUUAUGAACAUGCUUAUUUGAAAUAUAAUGAAGUUUUAUAUCUU